rnacentral:rRNA from 1 species
UACGAAGGGGGCUAGCGUUGUUCGGAAUUACUGGGCGUAAAGCGCGCGCAGGCGGUUUCUCAAGUCAGUGGUGAAAGCCCGGAGCUCAACUCCGGAACUGCCAUUGAAACUGUGAAACUUGAGGACGAGAGAGGUGAGUGGAAUUCCCAGUGUAGAGGUGAAAUGCGUAGAGAUCGGAAAGAACACCAACGGCGAAAGCACUCUGCUGGGCCGACACUGACACUGAGAGACGAAAGCUAGGGGAGCGAAUGGG